AUUGAACGCUGGCGGCAGGCCUAACACAUGCAAGUCGAACGAGUGGCGGACGGGUGAGUAAUGUCUGGGAAACUGCCUGAUGGAGGGGGAUAACUACUGGAAACGGUAGCUAAUACCGCAUACCAUCGGAUGUGCCCAGAUGGGAUUAGCUAGUUGGUGGGGUAAAGGCUCACCUAGGCGACGAUCCCUAGCUGGUCUGAGAGGAUGACCAGCCACACUGGAACUGAGACACGGUCCAGACUCCUACGGGAGGCAGCAGUGGGGAAUAUUGCGCAAUGGGCGAAAGCCUGAUGCAGCCAUGCCGCGUGUAUGAAGAAGGCCUUCGGGUUGUAAAGUACUGUUAGCGGGGAGGCGGUAUCCACAGAGGAAGCCCCGGCUAACUACGUGCCAGCAGCCGCGGUAAUUC
rnacentral:rRNA from 1 species